rnacentral:sRNA from 1 species
UGUUGCAGGCGUGCAGGUCGGUGGUGUUACACACAUUCAUGCUGUUGUAGGCGUUGGCAGGUUGUUGUGUUCACAUUCAUGCUGUUGUAUGCUUUUUUUUUUGUCAGGUCGUUGUCAUUUUUUUUUUGGUGUUACAUCAUGCUGUUGCAGGCGUGCAGGUCGGUGUGUUACACAUUCAUGCGCUGCAGCGUGGUCAUUCAUGCUGUUGUAGCGUGCAGGUCGGUGGUGUUACACACAUUCAUGCUGUUGCAGGCGUGCAGGUCGGUGGUGGUACACACAUUCAUGCUGUUGUAGGCGUGCAGGUCGUGGUGGUACACACAUUCAUGCUGUUUGUAGCGUGCAGGUCGGUGGUGUUACACACAUUCAUGCUGUUGUAGGCGUGCAGGUCGGGGUGUUACACCAUUCAUGCUGUUGCAGGCGUGCAGGUCGGUGGUGGUACACACAUUCAUGGCUGUUGUAGGCGUGCAGGUCGGUGGUGUUACACACAUUCAUGCUGUUGUAGCGUGCAGGUCGGUGGUGUUACAACAUUCAUGCUGUUGCAGGCGUGCAGGUCGGUGGUGUUCACACAUUCAUGCUGUUGUAGGCGUGCAGGUCAGUGGUGUUACACACAUUCAUGCUGUUGCAGGCGUGCAGGUCGGUGGUGGUACACACAUUCAUGCUGUUGUAGGGUGCAGGUCGGUGGUGGUACUUCAUGCUGUUGCAGGCGUGCAGGUCGGUGGUGUUACACACAUUCAUGCUGUUGUGCAGCCAUCACCUCCACCGGUGGACACCAGGGCUGUGCUGUUUUGGUUGCUGUAAGCGUGGGUGCACACUCCUGCCUGAGGCUCUGACUUGUUGUGAGUGCGGGUGCACACACCUGCCUGAGGCUGUGUUUUGGGUGUUGUGAGCGCGGGUACACACACCUGCCUGAGGCUCUGUUUUGACUGUUGUGAGCGCAGGUGCACACACCUGCCAGAGGCUCUGUUUUGACUGUUGUGAGCGCGGGUGCACACACCUGCCUGAGGCUGUGGUGCGAUCUCAGCUGACUGCAACCUCCACCUCCCGGGUUCAAGCGGUUCUCCUGCCUCAGCCUCCCGAGUAGCUGGGACUAUACCCACCACCACACCCGGCUAUUUUUUUGUAUUUUUAGUAGAGAUGGGAUUUCGCCAUCUUGGCCAGGAUGGUCUGGAACUGACCUCAGGUGAUCCACCCAUUGGCCUCCCAAAGUGCUGGGAUUACAGAUGUGAGCCACUGUGCCCGGCCUCUUUUUACUUUGUUAAUGGUGUAUUUUGAUAGAGAACAGAUUGUCAUUUUCAUGAAGCACAGCUGGUCGGUUUAUUGUUGCUCAUGUAUUUGGCCUCACGUUCGAGUCCCUGUUCUUAAUCAUGAGCUGGACACAUCCCUCUUUAGAGCAACUGUGACCACUUGUGGUGAGAAGUGCAGCCCACACCAUCCACGUGAGGCUCCCAUGCAGAUGUUUAGAAGGCGUUUCCACUGCAGCUCAGAAAAUGGCCCCAGGCGCCCAUGGGCACCCCCAUGUCACUAGGGCCUCUGGUUGCUGCAGGUACACAGGGAUAAGCAGCCUGGCCUCGAAGGCGCUUGGCAUGGGUUUGGGUGUCUGCAUUGGGUAGAGACCCGGAGCACCCUUGCUGGGCGUGCCCUAACAUCCCAGUACCCUGUGCCCCUCUGUGGGCCAGGAUGCCUGGUGCUGCCAGCUGGGCGUGAGCCCUGAGGAGCUGAGGGUGGCUGUGACUUGGAGGAUGAGUGGGAGCUUACCAGGAGGGCGUGGAGCCGGGGCGUUUAAUAUCAUCAGGAGCAACACUGGGCUCAGAAGGCAGGCACACUUGCCGUCCCUCCAGAGCCAUGGCUGACGGCCAGGCCUGGCGGGCUCUCGUGAGGACAGUGCCUGUGGUUGUCAGAUGCUGUCCCUUCGGGUAAGGGAUGAGAGCCAUCCUGAAGACAGGUCAGCUCUGUGGUGGCCACCCGUCGGGAUCAGUGACAUUCAGGUGUGUUGCACUGGUGGCUGUGUGGCUGUGUGGUGUGUGGCUGUGUGGUGUGUGGUGUGGCCACCAGGAGCCAUGUGGCCGAGGACAGCUGUGGGCUGGGCACAGAGCUGUCUCUGCUGGGAGUCAGUCGGUGCUGGGGUGAGGGGAGGCAGAGCUCACAGAGCCCCUCUACAGCUUACCCUGCAGCUCUGCCCCAGGCAGUAAACCCACCAUCCCCCUUUCUGCCGCAGGAGGCCGUGGAGAAGGUGACGCAGCACAUACAUGGCCUGUCUGGGAAGAAGGAUGGGCUGGUGCCCAUGUUCAUCAAUACCCACAGCGGCCUCUUCACCCACCUGGGCGUGUUCACACUGGGCGCCAGGGCCGACAGCUACUAUGAGUACCUGCUGAAGCAGUGGAUCCAGGGCGGGAAGCAGGAGACACAGCUGCUGGAAGACUACCUGGAAGCCAUCGAGGGUGUCAAAACGCACCUGCUGCGGCACUCCGAGCCCAGUAAGCUCACCUUCGUGGGGGAGCUUGCCCACGGCCGCUUCAGUGCCAAGAUGGACCACCUGGUGUGCUUCCUGCCAGGGACGCUGGCUCUGGGCGUCUACCACGGCCUGCCCGCCAGCCACAUGGAGCUGGCCCAGGAGCUCAUGGAGACUUGUUACCAGAUGAACCGGCAGAUGGAGACGGGGCUGAGUCCCGAGAUCGUGCACUUCAACCUUUACCCCCAGCCGGGCCGUCGGGACGUGGAGGUCAAGCCGGCAGACAGGCACAACCUGCUGCGGCCAGAGACCGUGGAGAGCCUGUUCUACCUGUACCGUGUCACAGGGGACCGCAAGUACCAGGACUGGGGCUGGGAGAUUCUGCAGAGCUUCAGCCGGUUCACGCGGGUCCCCUCGGGUGGCUAUUCUUCCAUCAACAAUGUCCAGGAUCCUCAGAAGCCCGAGCCCAGGGACAAGAUGGAGAGCUUCUUCCUGGGGGAGACGCUCAAGUAUCUGUUCUUGCUCUUCUCUGACGACCGUAACCUACUCAGCCUGGACGCCUACGUGUUCAACACUGAAGCCCACCCUCUGCCUAUCUGGACCCCUGCCUAGGGGGGACGGCUGCUGCUGUGGGGACUUCGGGUGGGCAGAGGCGCCUGGCUGGGUCUGUGGCAUUUUCCAAGGGCCCACGUAGCGCCGGCAACCGCCGAGUGGCCCGGGCUCUGAACUGGCUCUGGGCUCCUCCUUGUCUCUGCUUUAAUCAGGACACCGUGAGGCCAAGUGAGGCCGUCAGUCUGUGUGUGAUGCGGUGUGGGCUGGGCCACUGGAGCCUCCGCCUGCUUCCUCCAGAAAACACGAAUCAUGACUCACGAUCGCUGAAGCCUGAGCAGGUCUCUGUGGGCCGACCGGAGGGGCUUCGAGUGGCCCCUGGCACUGUGGUGACCGAGUGGACAGCCCAGGGUGCAGCUCUGCCCAGGCUCGUGAAGCCUCAGAUGUCCCCAAUCCAAGGGUCUGGAGGGGCUGCCGUGACUCCACAGGCCCGAGGCUCCAGGGCUGGCUCUGGUGUUUACUAGCUGGACUCAGGGAUCCUCCUGGCCACCCCGCAGGGGGCUUGGAGGGCUGGACGGCAAGUCUGUCUGGCUCACGGGCCCCUCCAGUGGAAUGGGUCCUUUCGGUGGAGAUAAAAGUUGAUUUGCUCU